rnacentral:rRNA from 1 species
UACAGAGGGGGCAAGCGUUGUUCGGAAUUACUGGGCGUAAAGGGCGCGUAGGCGGCCAUCUAAGUCAGACGUGAAAUCCCCCGGCUUAACCUGGGAACUGCGUCUGAUACUGGAAGGCUUGAGUAUGGGAGAGGGAUGCGGAAUUCCAGGUGUAGCGGUGAAAUGCGUAGAUAUCUGGAGGAACACCGGUGGCGAAGGCGGCAUCCUGGACCGGCAUUGACGCUGAGGCGCGAAAGCCAGGGGAGCAAACGGG